GACGAACGCUGGCGGCGCGCUUAACACAUGCAAGUCGAGCGAGAACCCAGGCUUCGGCCUGGGGGAAAGCGGCGAACGGGUGAGUAACACGUGGGUAAUCUGCCCUCGGCAUCGGGAUAGCCCGGGGAAACCCGGAUUAAUACCGGAUGGCCCGACAGCUCUUCGGAGCGGUCGGAAAAGGUAGCUUCGGCCUCCGGCCGGGGAGGAGCCCGCGGCGGAUUAGCUUGUUGGUGAGGUAACGGCUCACCAAGGGUCCGAUCCGUAGCUGGUCGGAGAGGACGAUCGGCCACACUGGACUGAGACACGGGCCAGACUCCUACGGGAGGCAGCAGUGGGGAAUCUUGCGCAAUGGGCGAAAGCCUGACGCAGCGACGCCGCGUGAGGGAAGAAGGCCUUCGGGUUGUAAACCUCUUUCAGGAGGGACGAAGCCACUCGGGUUAAUAGCCCAGAGGGUGACGGUACCUCCAGAAGAAGCCCCGGCUAACUACGUGCCAGCAGCCGCCGUAAUAC
rnacentral:rRNA from 1 species